GACGAACGCUGGCGGCGUGCUUAACACAUGCAAGUCGAACGGAAAGGCCCUGCUUUUGUGGGGUGCUCGAGUGGCGAACGGGUGAGUAACACGUGAGUAACCUGCCCUUGACUUUGGGAUAACUUCAGGAAACUGGGGCUAAUACCGGAUAGGAGCUCCUGCUGCAUGGUGGGGGUUGGAAAGUUUCGGCGGUUGGGGAUGGACUCGCGGCUUAUCAGCUUGUUGGUUGGGUAGUGGCUUACCAAGGCUUUGACGGGUAGCCGGCCUGAGAGGGUGACCAGCCACAUUGGGACUGAGAUACGGCCCAGUCUACUACGGGAGGCAGCGGUGGGGAAUCUUACACAGUGGGCGGAAGCCUGAUGCAGCACCGCCGCGUGCGGGAUGACGGCCUUCGGUUUGUAAAGCGCUUUCGCCUGUGACGAAGCGUGAGUGACGGUAAUGGGUGAAGAAGCACCGGCUAACUACGUG
rnacentral:rRNA from 1 species